GACGUAGGGCGCGAGCGUUGUCCGGAUUUAUUGGGCGUAAAGAGCUCGUAGGCGGCUUGUCGCGUCGACUGUGAAAUCCCGCGGCUCAACUGCGGGUCUGCAGUCGAUACGGGCAGGCGUAGAGUUCGGUAGGGGAGACUGGAAUUCCUGGUGUAGCGGUGAAAUGCGCAGAUAUCAGGAGGAACACCGGUGGCGAAGGCGGGUCUCUGGGCCGAUACUGACGCUGAGGAGCGAAAGCGUGGGGAGCGAACAGG
rnacentral:rRNA from 1 species